AGCGAACGCUGGCGGCAGGCUUAACACAUGCAAGUCGAGCGGGCACUUCGGUGUCAGCGGCAGACGGGUGAGUAACACGUGGGAACGUACCCUUCGGUUCGGAAUAACGCUGGGAAACUAGCGCUAAUACCGGAUACGCCCUUUUGGGGAAAGGUUUACUGCCGAAGGAUCGGCCCGCGUCUGAUUAGCUAGUUGGUGGGGUAAUGGCCUACCAAGGCGACGAUCAGUAGCUGGUCUGAGAGGAUGAUCAGCCACACUGGGACUGAGACACGGCCCAGACUCCUACGGCAGGCAGCAGUGGGGAAUAUUGGACAAUGGGCGCAAGCCUGAUCCAGCCAUGCCGCGUGAGUGAUGAAGGCCUUAGGGUUGUAAAGCUCUUUUGUCCGGGACGAUAAUGACGGUACCGGAAGAAUAAGCCCCGGCUAACUUCGUG
rnacentral:rRNA from 1 species